GGGAAGGUAGCUCAGUGGUAGAGUACAUGCCUUGCAUGCAGGAGGCCCUGGGUUCAAUUCCUCAGCACCA
rfam:Dipodomys ordii contig_8484, whole genome shotgun sequence.